UCCUAAACUUACACAUGCAAGUCUCAGCACACCCGUGAGGACGCCCUUUACUCUCUAUCAGACUAAGGAGCCGGCAUCAGGCAUAAGAUCUUUACCCACUACGCCUAGUCUCACCACGCCCACAAGGGCCUUCAGCAGUGAUAAAUAUUGUCUAUAAGCGAUAGCUUGACUCAGUUAUAGGAGAUAGAGCUGGCUAACUCGGUGCCAGCCGCCGCGGCUAAACCGCACGAGCCCAAGUUGACAAUUGCCGGCGUUAAGCGUGAUUAAAGAUCUUCUUAAUUAGAGUGAAACCUACAUUUAGCUGUGAUAAGCUUGCGUCAGAGAAAAAUUAAAACGAAAGUUACUCUAACCCACUUGAACACACGACAGUCGGGAAACAAACUGGGAUUAGAUACCCCACUAUGCCCCACCGUAAAAUAUUAACUUACACUAACAACGCCAGGGUAUUACGAGCCUUAGCUUAAAACCCAAAGGACUUGACGGUGUCCCAUCCAACUAGAGGAGCCUGUUCUAUAAUCGAUAAUCCACGAUACACCUAACCCCAUUUUGCAAAUCAGUCUGUAUACCUCCGUCGCAAGCUUACCAUAUGAAUGCUAAUAGUAAGUUUAAUGGUCACAACACCAACACGUCAGGUCAAGGUGCAGCUCAUGAUGAGGUAAGCAAUGGGCUACAAUUUCUAAUAUAGAAUAUACGGAAUACUGUAUGAAACGCAGUUAUGAAGGCGGAUUUAGCAGUAAAAAUGAAAUAAUAUGUCCUUUUUAAUAAGGCCCUGGGACGUGUACACACCGCCCGUCACCCUCUUCGACAGUAUAAAAAUGUUCUUUACAACUUAACACGCCCUAGAAGAGGCAAGUCGUAACAUGGUAAGUGUACCGGAAGGUGCACUUGGAUUAC
rnacentral:ncRNA from 1 species